UCCGGGUUGGUCCCGGCGGUCCGGCCAGACGUGGUAACUGGCCGCGGGGGUUGCGCUCGUUGCGGGACUUAACCCAACACCUUACCUGGGUUUGACAUAUACCGGAAAGCCGUAGAGAUACGGCCCCAAAGGGGAAACCACAUUUCUGCGGCGGUCCGGUCCAUGUCAAGCCUUGGUAAGGUUCUUCGCGUUGCAUCGAAUUAAUCCGCAUGCUCCGCCGCUUGUGCGGGCCCCCGUCAAUUCCUUUGAGUUUUAGCCUUGCGGCCGUACUCCCCAGGCGGGGCGCUUAAUGCGUUAGCUACGGCACGGAUCCCGUGGAAGGAAACCCACACCUAGCGCCCACCGUUUACGGCGUGGACUAC
rnacentral:misc_RNA from 1 species